rnacentral:rRNA from 1 species
GAUUGCGAAGGCAGCUCACUGGACUGCAACUGACACUGAUGCUCGAAAGUGUGGGUAUCAAACAGGAUUAGAUACCCUGGUAGUCCACACAGUAAACGAUGAAUACUCGCUGUUUGCAAGGGCCAAGCGAAAGCAUUAAGUAUUCCACCUGGGGAGUACGCCGGCAACGGUGAAACUCAAAGGAAUUGACGGGGGCCCGCACAAGCGGAGGAACAUGUGGUUUAAUUCGAUGAUACGCGCGGAACCUUACCCGGGCUUAAAUUGAAGGUGCUGCAUGGUUGUCGUCAGCUCGUGCCGUGAGGUGUCGGCUUAAGUGCCAUAACGAGCGCAACCCUUAUCUUCAGUUACGACUCUGGAGAGACUGCCGUCGUAAGAUGGAGGAAGGUGGGGAUGACGUCAAAUCAGCACGGCCCUUACGUCCGGGGCUACACACGUGUUACAAUGGGGGGUACAGAAGGCAGCUAGCGGGUGACCGUAUGCUAAUCCCAAAAUCCUCUCUCAGUUCGGAUCGAAGUCUGCAACCCGACUUCGUGAAGCUGGAUUCGCUAGUAAUCGCGC